rnacentral:rRNA from 1 species
CAGUCGCCGCGGGAAUACAGAGGGUGCGAGCGUUAAUCGGAUUUACUGGGCGUAAAGCGUGCGUAGGCGGCUUUUUAAGUCGGAUGUGAAAUCCCUGAGCUUAACUUAGGAAUUGCAUUCGAUACUGGGAAGCUAGAGUAUGGGAGAGGAUGAUAGAAUUCCAGGUGUAGCGGUGAAAUGCGUAGAGAUCUGGAGGAAUACCGAUGGCGAAGGCAGCCAUCUGGCCUAAUACUGACGCUGAGGUACGAAAGCAUGGGGAGCAAACAGGAUUAGAUACCCCAGUAGUCCCUGUCUCUUAUAC